rnacentral:rRNA from 1 species
GAUGAACGCUGGCGGCGUGCUUAACACAUGCAAGUCGAACGAAGCAGAUUGAGAUCUUCGGAAGGAUAUCUGACUGAGUGGCGGACGGGUGAGUAACGCGUGGGUAACCUACCUCAUACAGGGGGAUAACAGUUAGAAAUGACUGCUAAUACCGCAUAAGCGCACAGUACCGCAUGGUACGGUGUGAAAAACUCCGGUGGUAUGAGAUGGACCCGCGUCUGAUUAGCUAGUUGGUGGGGUAACGGCUCACCAAGGCGACGAUGCGUAGCCGACCUGAGAGGGUGAUCGGCCACAUUGGAACUGAGACACGGUCCAGACUCCUACGGGAGGCAGCAGUGGGGAAUAUUGCGCAAUGGGGGAAACCCUGACACAGCAACGCCGCGUGAAUGAAGAAGGCCUUCGGGUUGUAAAGUUCUGUCUCAUGGGAAGAUAAUGACGGUACCAUAGGAGGAAGCCACGGCUAACUACGUGCCAGCCGCCGCAGUAAAAC